AGGGUAGUACCUCUUUAGCAUUGAGACGUAAAAGACGUCAUGUAGACCCGUAAACUCUCAGGAUAGAGCGAGGUAAUAUGCCACGGGUCCAAUGUGCUCGACGAUUCAAAAAAGUUUCACAUAACAAGGACUUAACUUCCCUCUUGUCCCAAACUGCAUCUUUCCCUUGUAGGGAAAAACCUUGAGGAAAACUUAGUCUCCCACGGUGAAUUCCAAGGGUUGGCUACAAUUGUUGAUGUAGCUCUUCUAAUGGCUUUGGGUAGUGGCCAAGUUCUUGCAGAUGAUUGCGACCUUCUCAAUGGUCUCCUGAAUGAAGUCUGGUCCCAAAUGGUGCUAGUUUCCG
rnacentral:lncRNA from 1 species